CAUCCUCAACACAGUCAUGGGUGUGUUUUUUGUGUUUCCUGUUUCAUUUUUAAGUCUGUCUUUUCUCCCUAGUCUUGUCUGGUUUCACUUCCUGCCUUGUGUUUUCCCGCCUUUUUUGAUUGUUCUGCCCCGCCCUAAUGUGUUUCACCUGUUUCCCCAGCCCUGGUGUCACCUGUCC